CACGACCUAACACAUGACAAGUACGAACGAAGAAGUUUUAAGCUGCUUCUGCUAGUGGCGGACGGGUGAGUAACACGUGAGCAACCUGCCUUAAAGAGGGGGACAACAGUUGGAAACGACUGCUAAUACCGCAUAAUGUGCGCUGGAAGCAUUUCCUAUGCACCAAAGGAGCAAUCCGCUUUAAGAGUGGGCUCGCGCCUGAUUAGAUAGUUGGUGAGGUAACGGCCCACCAAGUCUGCGAUCAGUAGCCGGACUGAGAGGUUGAACGGCCACAUUGGGACUGAGACACGGCCCAGACUCCUACGGGAGGCAGCAGGUGGGGGAUAUUGGUCAAAGUGGGGGAAACCCUGAACCAGCGAUGCCGCGUGAGGGAAGUAAGGUUUUCGGAUUAGUAAACCUCUGUCAGUCGGGGAAGAUAAUGACCGGUACCCGAGAAGGAAGCCACGGCUAACUACGUGCCAGCCGCCGC
rnacentral:rRNA from 1 species